AGUGAACGCUGACGGUAGGCCUAACACAUGCAAGUCGAACGGCAGCACAGGAGAGCUUGCUCUCUGGGUGGCGAGUGGCGGACGGGUGAGGAAUACAUCGGAAUCUACUCUGUCGUGGGGGAUAACGUAGGGAAACUUACGCUAAUACCGCAUACGACCUACGGGUGAAAGCAGGGGACCUUCGGGCCUUGCGCGAUUGAAUGAGCCGAUGUCGGAUUAGCUAGUUGGCGGGGGAAAGGCCCACCAAGGCGACGAUCCGUAGCUGGUCUGAGAUGAUGAUCAACCACACUGGACCUGAGACACGGUCCAGACUCAUUCGGGAGGCCGCAGUGGGGAAUAUUGGACAAUGGGCGCACGCCUGAUCCAGCCAUACCGCGUGGGUGAACAAGGCCUUCGGGUUGUAAAACCCUUUUGUUGGGAAAGAAAUCCAGCUGGCUAAUACCCGGUUGGGAUGACGGUACCCAAAGAAUAAGCACCGGCUAACUUCGUGCCAUCCGCCGCAGUAA
rnacentral:rRNA from 1 species